GUGGCAGGUGCCUUCCUUUUCUGUUUCAUGACUACAGUGCUACUGGUACAAGGAAUGCAAGUAGUGGCAACAGUUCUCCUUACUGUUUGGAGAUGCUGAAGCAGAGUGGAUGGGAUUUCUACUUUGGACCAAGAUAAAUAACAGGAAUUUACUCCUCCACCUGAAAUCACUGAAAAAGACUCUGAUAAAAUAUCUAAAACAAGUUUCUAAGAAACUAGAUAUCCGGCAAUGAAGGACAGUGAGUCUGAGAGGUGGGAAACACAUAAGCAUAAGGAGUUCCAACUUACCUUGGAAAAACUCAUUGUCCAGAACUGAAGCAUCCCAUGGAGGAGGCAUUCCACUCCCCACCCUCAUGAUUGCUGGUGUGGGGACAGACGCGCUGUCAACUGGUUGAUUUUCCAGAGUCUAGAAACAGGUCAGGAUUCCUCGCAGGAAGACCUUGGGAAUGAAGGGGAACCAGAACAGCUUCUCAGAGUCCUGUGCCCCUGCUGGUUCUGCCCAAUAGGGAAUAUCCUCACAAGCUGCAGGGUAACUUUCAGUAUGUACAUGGGUCACAAUUCUGUAGGUGAUCUCUUGCCUUAAGCCAGCUGUUUCUCAUCAUGUCUUCUCCAUGGAUAUCCAACAUUCACGUUGUUGUGUCUUUUAGAAAUUUUCAUUUUUAGUAUUUUUAAAUCAUAACUUUUUAAUCUAUUUUUUAGAUGUAC